CCUACGGGAGGCAGCAGUGGGGAAUAUUGCACAAUGGGCGAAACCCUGAUGCAGCCACGCCGCGUGAGUGAAGAAGGAUUUCUGUUUGUAAAGCUCUUUCAGCAGGGAAGAAAAUGUCAGUACUUGUCCAUUUAGCCCCGGCCAACUCCGUCCCAGCAGCCGCGGGAAUACGCAGGGGGCAAGCGUUAUCCGGAUUUACUGGGUGUAACGGGAGCGUAGACGGUUAUGUAAGUCAGACGUGAAAGCCCGGGGCGCAACCCGAGAACUGCUUUGGAAACUGUGAAACUUGAGUAUAGGAGAGGGAGGUGGAAUUCCUGGUGUAGCGGUGAAAUGCGUAGAGAUCAGGAGGAACACCGGCGGCGAAGGCGGCCUGCUGGACUAAAACUGACGUUGAGGCGCGAAAGCGUGGGGAGCAAACAGGAUUAGAUACCCUAGUAGUC
rnacentral:rRNA from 1 species